CCAUGAUGAUCCGCAACGGGUUUAACGCCCGCUUUGCAGGCGGGGUCGAGGCCGCAGCCUCCUCGGGCGGGCAGAUCAUGCCGCCUGUGAUGGG
rnacentral:tRNA from 1 species